rnacentral:tRNA from 3 species
GCUGCCGUAGUUCAACGGACAGAAUAGGGGACUCCUAAGCCCUUGAUGCAGGUUCGACUCCUGCCGGUGGCA